rnacentral:lncRNA from 1 species
UAUACUAUGACUACUAUCACCAACUUUUUGAAUCUGAUAUCUUUAUAUUUAUAAUAUAAAUAUUUAACGUUUAAAACACUAAUAUUAAAGGAGAUUUGUACAUCUAUGUCUAAUGUCCCUAAGUUAUAUUCAAAGUGUCUUUGUGGUUGGAAAAUCAUGUAUAGACUGAUAAACCUUUGUCUGGAAAACCAGAUGGUUAGUAAAAGUUGUUUAUGAGUAACAAAAAAUAAGUCAGAACCAACUAUGUUUAUACAUCAGAUAUAUUGGAUUCCAAUUUAACUAGAGUUCCAUUGCAUUAACCUUUGAAAUUAUGUGUUUGUCUUAGUUGAUAGAUAUUGUGUCAAAG